UGCAGUCGAACGAUGAACCACUUCGGUGGGGAUUAGUGGCGAACGGGUGAGUAACACGUGGGCAAUCUGCCCUGCACUCUGGGACAAGCCCUGGAAACGGGGUCUAAUACCGGAUACUGACCCUCGCAGGCAUCUGCGAGGUUCGAAAGCUCCGGCGGUGCAGGAUGAGCCCGCGGCCUAUCAGCUUGUUGGUGAGGUAAUGGCUCACCAAGGCGACGACGGGUAGCCGGCCUGAGAGGGCGACCGGCCACACUGGGACUGAGACACGGCCCAGACUCCUACGGGAGGCAGCAGUGGGGAAUAUUGCACAAUGGGCGAAAGCCUGAUGCAGCGACGCCGCGUGAGGGAUGACGGCCUUCGGGUUGUAAACCUCUUUCAGCAGGGAAGAAGCGAAAGUGACGGUACCUGCAGAAGAAGCGCCGGCUAACUACGUGCCAGCAGCCGCGGUAAUUC
rnacentral:rRNA from 1 species